GAUGAACGCUGGCGGCGUGCCUAACACAUGCAAGUCGAACGGAGUCCAGCCUUUAAGCCCUCCGGGUCAAAGAGGGGAAGACUGAGUGGCGGACGGGUGAGUAACACGUGGGCAACCUGGCUCAUAGAGGGGGAUAACAGAGAGAAAUUUCUGCUAAUACCGCAUAAGCACACACUGCCGCAUGGCAGAGGGUGAAAAGAGAAUCGCUAUGAGAUGGACCCGCGUCUGAUUAGCCAGUUGGCAGGGUAAGAGCCUACCAAAGCGACGAUCAGUAGCCGAUCUGAGAGGAUGAACGGCCACAUUGGGACUGAGACACGGCCCAAACUCCUACGGGAGGCAGCAGUGGGGGAUAUUGCACAAUGGGGGGAACCCUGAUGCAGCGACGCCGCGUGAGUGAAGAAGUAUUUCGGUAUGUAAAGCUCUAUCAGCAGGGAAGAUAAUGACAGUACCUGAAGAAGAAGCCCCGGCUAACUACGUG
rnacentral:rRNA from 1 species